rnacentral:rRNA from 1 species
CACAUGCAAGUCGAGCGGCAGCGCGGGGGCAACCCUGGCGGCGAGCGGCGAACGGGUGAGUAAUACAUCGGAACGUGUCCAGUAGUGGGGGAUAACCAGUCGAAAGAUUGGCUAAUACCGCAUACGAUCUACGGAUGAAAGCGGGGGACCGCAAGGCCUCGCGCUAUUGGAGCGGCCGAUGUCCGAUUAGCUAGUUGGUGGGGUAAUGGCCCACCAAGGCGACGAUCGGUAGCUGGUCUGAGAGGAUGAUCAGCCACACUGGAACUGAGACACGGUCCAGACUCCUACGGGAGGCAGCAGUGGGGAAUUUUGGACAAUGGGCGCAAGCCUGAUCCAGCCAUGCCGCGUGAGUGAAGAAGGCCUUCGGGUUGUAAAGCUCUUUCGGCGGGGACGAAACGGUCCGUGACAACACCACGGACUAAUGACGGUACUCGCAGAAGAAGCACCGGCUAACUACGUGCCAGCAGCCGCGGUAAUACGUAGGGUGCAGGCGUUAAUCGGAAUUACUGGGCGUAAAGCGUGCGCAGGCGGCUCCUUAAGUCAGAUGUGAAAUCCCCGGGCUUAACCUGGGAACUGCGUUUGAAACUGGGGAGCUUGAGUGUGGA